GACGGACCCGCACAAGCAGCGGAGCGUGUGGUUUAAUUCGAGGCUACACGAAGAACCUUACCAGGGUUUGACAUGCAAGUGGUAGGAAUCCGAAAGGUGACCGACCCUUCGGGGAGCUUGCACAGGUGCUGCAUGGCUGUCGUCAGCUCGUGUCGUGAGAUGUUCGGUUAAGUCCGCUAACGAGCGCAACCCUCGUCGUGUGUUAUACGUGUCACACGAUACUGCCGGUAUCAAGCCGGAGGAAGGUGGGGAUGAUGUCAAGUCAGCAUGGCCUUUAUAUCCUGGGCUACACACACGCUACAAUGGCAGAUACAAUAGGUUGCGAAACCGCGAGGUGGAGCCAAUCCUCAAAGUCUGUCUCAGUUCAGAUUGUAGGCUGCAACUCGCCUGCAUGAAGUUGGAGUUGCUAGUAAACGCAGGUCAGCUAUACUGCGUUGAAUACGUUCCCGGGGUUU
rnacentral:rRNA from 1 species